CUGCGCGUGGCUCAGCUUGGUAGAGCACCAGCUUGGGGUGCUGGGGGUCGCUGGUUCAAAUCCAGUCGCGCAGACCA
rnacentral:tRNA from 1 species